rnacentral:rRNA from 1 species
AACGAACGCUGGCGGCAUGCCUAACACAUGCAAGUCGAACGAGACCUUCGGGUCUAGUGGCGCACGGGUGCGUAACGCGUGGGAACCUGCCCUUAGGUUCGGAAUAACUCCCCGAAAGGGGUGCUAAUACCGAAUAAUGUCUUCGGACCAAAGAUUUAUCGCCUUUGGAUGGGCCCGCGUAGGAUUAGCUAGUUGGUGGGGUAAAGGCCUACCAAGGCGACGAUCCUUAGCUGGUCUGAGAGGAUGAUCAGCCACACUGGGACUGAGACACGGCCCAGACUCCUACGGGAGGCAGCAGUGGGGAAUAUUGGACAAUGGGCGAAAGCCUGAUCCAGCAAUGCCGCGUGAGUGAUGAAGGCCUUAGGGUUGUAAAGCUCUUUUACCAGGGAUGAUAAUGACAGUACCUGGAGAAUAAGCUCCGGCUAACUCCGUGCCAGCCGCCGCAGUAAGAC